rnacentral:miRNA from 1 species
UCGGCCGACUCGAUCGGCGAGUCCAUCCGCUCGACAGUGAGGAAGGCGGCCAGGUUAGCGGUGUACGACGAGAUCAUGAUCAG